rnacentral:rRNA from 1 species
AUACGGAGGGGGCUAGCGUUGUUCGGAAUCACUGGGCGUAAAGCGCUCGUAGGCGGAUCAGUCAGUCAGAGGUGAAAUCCCAAGGCCCAACCUUGCAACUGCCUUUGAUACUGCUGGUCUUGAGGUCGAGAGAGGUAAGUGGAAUUCCUAGUGUAGCGGUGAAAUUCGUAGAUAUUAGGAAGAACACCAGUGGCGAUGGCGGCUUACUGGCUCGAUUCUGACGCUGAGGAGCGAAAGCGUGGGGAGCAAACAGGAUUAGAAACCCUAGUAGUCC